rnacentral:rRNA from 1 species
AUUGAACGCUGGCGGCAGGCCUAACACAUGCAAGUCGAACGAGUGGCGGACGGGUGAGUAAUGUCUGGGAAACUGCCUGAUGGAGGGGGAUACCUACUGGAAACGGUAGCUAAUACCGCAUACCAUCGGAUGUGCCCAGAUGGGAUUAGCUAGUAGGUGGGGUAACGGCUCACCAAGGCGACGAGCCCUAGCUGGUCUGAGAGGAUGACCAGCCACACUGGAACGGAGACACGGUCCAGACUCCUACGGGAGGCAGAAGUGGGGAAUAUUGCACAAUGGGCGCAAGCCUGAUGCAGCCAUGCCGCGUGUAUGAAGAAGGCCUUCGGGUUGUAAAGUACUUUCAGCGGGUAGGCGGUACCCGCAGAGGAAGCACCGGCUAACUCCGUGCCAGCAGCCGCGGUAAUAC